UACGUAGGGUGCGAGCGUUGUCCGGAAUUACUGGGCGUAAAGAGCUCGUGGGUGGUUUGUCGCGUUGUCCGUGAAAACUCACAGCUUAACUGUGGGCGUGCGGGCGAUACGGGCAGACUGGAGUACUGCAGGGGAGACUGGAAUUCCUGGUGUAGCGGUGGAAUGCGCAGAUAUCAGGAGGAACACCAGCGGCGAAGGCGGCGCUCUGGGCCGGUACUGACGCUGAGGAGCGAAAGCGUGGGGAUCAAACAGG
rnacentral:rRNA from 1 species